rnacentral:sRNA from 1 species
CUCCUCCCUCCUUCCUUCCCUCCCUUCCUCCCUCUCUCCCUCCCUCCUAGCUCCUGCACCAGGAAACGGCCCGGAUCCCGGCAGCGGCCUGACCCCGGCCUCAGCCCCAGACACACGGGCUCUAGUGGCAGACUUUGUGGGCUAUAAGCUGAGGCAGAAGGGUUAUGUCUGUGGAGCUGGCCCCGGGGAGGGCCCAGCAGCUGACCCGCUGCACCAAGCCACGCGGGCAGCUGGAGAUGAGUUCGAGACCCGCUUCCGGCGCACCUUCUCAGAUUUGGCAGCUCAGUUGCAUGUGACCCCGGGCUCGGCGCCGCCUUGUGGCCUUCUUUGUCUUCGGAGCUGCACUGUGUGCUGAGAGUGUCAAUAAGGAGAUGGAGCCACUCGUGGGACAAGUGCAGGAGUGGAUGGUGACCUACCUGGAGACACGGCUGGCCGACUGGAUCCACAGCAGUGGGGGCUGGGCGGAGUUCACAGCUCUAUACGGGGACGGGGCCCUGGAGGAGGCGCGGCGUCUGCGGGAGGGGAACUGGGCCUCAGUGAGGACAGUGCUGACGGGGGCCGUGGCACUGGGGGCCCUGGUAACUGUAGGGGCCUUUUUUGCUAGCAAGUGAGAAAGUCCAGGGCCAGGUGGGGCUAGGUGUGGCUGGGGGACAGGAGAGCAGGAA